UCCUUAACUCAUACCGCUGUG
rnacentral:miRNA from 1 species